rnacentral:rRNA from 1 species
AUUGAACGCUGGCGGCAUGCCUAACACAUGCAAGUCGAACGGCAGCAUAAGUGAGGGUAACCUUACUUGAUGGCGAGUGGCGGACGGGUGAGUAAUAUGUAGGAAUCUACCUAGAGGAGCGGGAUAACUUGGGGAAACUCAAGCUAAUACCACAUAAUCCCUACGGGGGAAAGCAGGGGAUCUUCGGACCUUGCGCCUUAUGAUGAGCCUACAUCGGAUUAGCUUGUUGGUGGGGUAAGGGCCUACCAAGGCGACGAUCCGUAGCUGGUCUGAGAGGAUGAUCAGCCACACUGGGACUGAGACACGGCCCAGACUCCUACGGGAGGCAGCAGUGGGGAAUAUUGGACAAUGGGCGAAAGCCUGAUCCAGCAAUGCCGCGUGUGUGAAGAAGGCCUUAGGGUUGUAAAGCGCUUUCAGUGGGGAGGAAGUUGCGUGUGCUAAUAUCACACGUAAUUGGCGUUACCCACAGAAGAAGCACCGGCUAACUCUGUGCCAGCCGCCGCGGUAAAAC